AGGUCAUUGCUAUUGGAGUCCGAUUUAGCCAUGCUAGUUGCACGAGUUUAGACUCGUAGCAGAUAGCUCAGUAACACGUGGCCAAACUACCCUAUGGAUCCGGACAACCUCGGGAAACUGAGGCUAAUCCGGAAUACGGCUCUCAGCCUGGAAGUGGCGAGAGUCAGAAACGCUCCGGCGCCAUAGGAUGUGGCUGCGGCCGAUUAGGUAGACGGUGGGGUAACGGCCCACCGUGCCCAUAAUCGGUACGGGUUGUGAGAGCAAGAGCCCGGAGACGGUAUCUGAGACAAGAUACCGGGCCCUACGGGGCGCAGCAGGCGCGAAACCUUUACACUGCACGAAAGUGCGAUAAGGGGACUCCAAGUGCGAGGGCAUAUAGUCCUCGCUUUUCACCACCGUAAGGAGGUGGUAGAAUAAGUGCUGGGCAAGACCGGUGCCAGCCGCCGCGGUAAUACCGGCAGCACGAGUGAUGACCGCUCUUAUUGGGCCUAAAGCGUCCGUAGCUACUUUCC
rnacentral:rRNA from 1 species